UUCUUUAAGAAAUUAAUUUAAAGUAUAUCCUGCUCAAUGUAAUAAAUAAAUAGCCGCAGUCAACUGUGCUAAGGUAGCAUAAUCACUUGCUUCAUAAUUGGAAGAUAGUAUGAAAGGACAUACGACCUAGGACUAUUUCAAAAUUCUAAAUUAAAUUACCAUACAAGUAAAAAGACUUGAAUAGAAAAAUAAGACGACAAGACCCCAUCAAACUUAUCAUUUAGUUGGGGUAACUUAAUAAAAAAACCUUAUAAUAACACUUAACAUAUCCUAAUAAAAGAUAAAGUUUAGUUACUGUGGGGAUAACAGCGCCAUUUUUCUUAAGAGCUCCCAUCCAAAGAAAAGAUUACGACCUCGAUGUUGAAUUAACUAUCCUAAAUAUCAUGGCGCAAAAGCCAUUAUAAGAAGGUCUGUUCGACCUGUAAAAAGUU
rnacentral:rRNA from 1 species